GAGUUUGAUCCUGGCUCAGGACGAACGCUGGCGGCGUGCUUAACACAUGCAAGUCGAACGGAAAGGCCCUUCGGGGUACUCGAGUGGCGAACGGGUGAGUAACACGUGGGUGAUCUGCCCUGCACUUUGGGAUAAGCCUGGGAAACUGGGUCUAAUACCGAAUAGGACCGCGCGCUUCAUGGUGUGUGGUGGAAAGCUUUUGCGGUGUGGGAUGGGCCCGCGGCCUAUCAGCUUGUUGGUGGGGUAAUGGCCUACCAAGGCGACGACGGGUAGCCGGCCUGAGAGGGUGACCGGCCACACUGGGACUGAGAUACGGCCCAGACUCCUACGGGAGGCAGCAGUGGGGAAUAUUGCACAAUGGGCGCAAGCCUGAUGCAGCGACGCCGCGUGAGGGAUGACGGCCUUCGGGUUGUAAACCUCUUUCACCAGGGACGAAGCGCAAGUGACGGUACCUGGAGAAGAAGCACCGGCCAACUACGUGCCAGCAGCCGCGGUAAUACGUAGGGUGCGAGCGUUGUCCGGAAUUACUGGGCGUAAAGAGCUCGUAGGUGGUUUGUCGCGUUGUUCGUGAAAACUCACAGCUUAACUGUGGGCGUGCGGGGGAUACGGGCAGACUAGAGUACUGCAGGGGAGACUGGAAUUCCUGGUGUAGCGGUGGAAUGCGCAGAUAUCAGGAGGAACACCGGUGGCGAAGGCGGGUCUCUGGGCAGUAACUGACGCUGAGGAGCGAAAGCGUGGGGAGCGAACAGGAUUAGAUACCCUGGUAGUC
rnacentral:rRNA from 1 species